AGCAGCCGCGGUAAUUCCAGCUCCAAUAGCGUAUAUUAAAGUUGUUGCAGUUAAAAAGCUCGUAGUUGAAUUUCGGGGUCAGCAGGUUGGUCGUGCCAAUGGUAUGAACUGGCCUUGCUGAUUCCUCCCUCUUGAUGAGCCGUAAUGUCAUUAAUUUGGUGUUGCGGGGAAUCAGGACUGUUACUUUGAAAAAAUUAGAGUGUUUAAAGCAGGCAAGCGCUUGAAUACAUUAGCAUGGAAUAAUGAAAUAGGACGUUUGAUCCUAUUUUGUUGGUUUCUAGGAUUGACGUAAUGAUUAAUAGGGAUAGUUGGGGGCAUUAGUAUUCAAUUGUCAGAGGUGAAAUUCUUGGAUUUAUUGAAGACUAACUACUGCGAAAGCAUUUGCCAAGGAUGUUUUCAUUAAUCAAGAACGAAAGUUAGGGGAUCGAAGACGAUCAGAUACCGUCGUAGUCUUAACCAUAAACUAUGCCGACUAGGGAUCGGAUGAUGUUAAUUUUUUAAUGACU
rnacentral:rRNA from 1 species